rnacentral:rRNA from 1 species
CAGCCGCCGCGGUAAUACAGAGGGUGCGAGCGUUAAUCGGAAUUACUGGGCGUAAAGCGUGCGCAGGCGGUUUUGUAAGACAGAGGUGAAAUCCCCGGGCUCAACCUGGGAACUGCCUUUGUGACUGCAAGGCUAGAGUACGGCAGAGGGGGAUGGAAUUCCGCGUGUAGCAGUGAAAUGCGUAGAUAUGCGGAGGAACACCGAUGGCGAAGGCAAUCCCCUGGGCCUGUACUGACGCUCAUGCACGAAAGCGUGGGGAGCAAACAGGAUUAGAUACCCCAGUAGUCCCUGUCUCUUAUAA